GUUCAAAUUAAAUAGACUAUUAUGUUGCAGAGUAUACAUCUGAAUGAAGUAACAGUAGAUAAACACACAUAGCAACCAGUGUAGAUCAAAGAAGAAGGAAA